AUUGAACGCUGGCGGCAUGCUUUACACAUGCAAGUCGAACGGUAACAAGCCUUCGGGUGCUGACGAGUGGCGAACGGGUGAGUAAUGCAUCGGAACGUACCCAGAGGUGGGGGAUAACGCAGCGAAAGCUGUGCUAAUACCUCAUGUGAUCUGAGGAUGAAAGCGGGGGACCGAGCAGCAAUGUUUGGCCUCGCGCCUUUGGAGCGGCCGAUGUCGGAUUAGCUAGUUGGUGGGGUAAAGGCCUACCAAGGCGACGAUCCGUAGCUGGUCUGAGAGGACGACCAGCCACACUGGGACUGAGACACGGCCCAGACUCCUACGGGAGGCAGCAGUGGGGAAUUUUGGACAAUGGGCGCAAGCCUGAUCCAGCAAUGCCGCGUGCGGGAAGAAGGCCUUCGGGUUGUAAACCGCUUUUGGCAGGAACGAAACGGUGUCCGCUAAUACCGGGCGCUAAUGACGGUACCUGCAGAAUAAGCACCGGCUAACUACGUG
rnacentral:rRNA from 1 species